rnacentral:rRNA from 1 species
UGGGGAAUAUUGGACAAUGGGCGCAAGCCUGAUCCAGCCAUGCCGCGUGAACGAUGAAGGCCUUAGGGUUGUAAAGUUCUUUUGUCAGGGAAGAUAAUGACGGUACCUGAAGAAUAAGCACCGGCUAACUUCGUGCCAGCAGCCGCGGUAAUACGAAGGGUGCUAGCGUUGUUCGGAAUCACUGGGCGUAAAGCGCGCGUAGGCGGCGACACAAGUCAGGGGUGAAAUCCCAGAGCUUAACUCUGGAACUGCCUUUGAAACUGUGUUGCUAGAGUACUGGAGGGGAGUGGGGAAUUCCUAAUGUAGAGGUGAAAUUCGUAGAUAUUAGGAGGAACACCGGUGGCGAAGGCGCCACUCUGGACAGUAACUGACGCUGAGGCGCGAAAGCGUGGGGAUCAAACAGGAUUAGAUACCCUGGUAGUCCACGCCGUAAACGAUGGGUGCUAGCUGUUGGGCUCGUAGAGCUCAGUGGCGCAGCUAACGCGUUAAGCACCCCGCCUGGGGAGUACGGUC